UACAGAGGUCUCAACCGUUGUUCGGAUUCAUUGGGCGUAAAGGGCUCGUAGGCGGCCAACUAAGUCAGACGUGAAAUCCCUCGGCUUAACCGGGGAACUGCGUCUGAUACUGGAUGGCUAGAGUUUGGGAGAGGGAUGUAGAAUUCCAGGUGUAGCGGUGAAAUGCGUAGAUAUCUGGAGGAAUACCGGUGGCGAAGGCGGCAUCCUGGACCGACAUUGACGCUGAGGAGCGAAAGCUAGGGGAGCAAACGGG
rnacentral:rRNA from 1 species